UAUGUAUGUCCGAAAAAACCUCUACGUAGACAUAGCUCACUUUAUCACCGCAUACUUUAAUUUUUCUUUGUGUCAAACAUAGCCCUGAUUUGGACUUGGUUCAGAUUAUAUUGCCAUGGAGGCCAUCGUUGACAAUAAUGCCGGCGGAUAUGUCCUGAUCCCAUGUAGAAGGAAUCGGUACCUCCACUUCAUCCUCGAAAUUUUCAGAAUCCAGAUCCUCCGAAACCCAUCCUUGUUCUCUUCCUCCAUCACCCUGUGCAUUUCAUCGCCUUCCUCAUCCCCAUCAGCAACACCAGAGCCAGCUAAUACUAUCGACUGAAUACUCUGCCCAGUAUCAUGACACUAACAUUGUGUGGCACAUAAUAUGACUCUUUCUCGGCUUGGCUAGCAUCCACAUCCGGUGGCUGUGACCCGGAUACAUAAAUCUCGUUAGCCACUUGACUACCCUGGCCUGGUUCAUAUCCCAUGUUGACUUGUACGAAAUUCUCCUCCUUCGCCACUGGUUGCACUAGAGCAUAUGGGUGGAUUCUUCGGUCUCUGGAACGACUUAACAUGGACAACCAAUGCUGGCUCCUAUCUAUCAGCAUCAACUCCCAUUUGACAUUUUUACAGGAUCUGGUCCACAGUGCAUGAAUACUGACGGAACAGACUUCAGGAUCGAGUCCAAAACUAGUAGUCAACCGGUGCUUCAAUUGCCUAAUGUCCAGUCUGUCCGGGUCUAAAAGUGUAAUGGCGCCUUUUUUAAACUUGCUAAGAUCAACCCCCAACUCAUUAU
rnacentral:lncRNA from 1 species